CCUACGGGUGGCAGCAGUGAGGAAUAUUGGUCAAUGGGCGAGAGCCUGAACCAGCCAAGUAGCGUGAAGGAUGACUGCCCUAUGGGUUGUAAACUUCUUUUAUAUGGGAAUAAAGUGCAGUAUGUAUACUGCUUUGCAUGUACCUUAUGAAUAAGGAUCGGCUAACUCCGUGCCAGCAGCCGCGGUAAUACGGAGGAUCCGAGCGUUAUCCGGAUUUAUUGGGUUUAAAGGGAGCGUAGGUGGGUUGUUAAGUCAGUUGUGAAAGUUUGCGGCUCAACCGUAAAAUUGCAAUUGAUACUGGCAGCCUUGAGUACAGUAGAGGUAGGCGGAAUUCGUGGUGUAGCGGUGAAAUGCUUAGAUAUCACGAAGAACUCCGAUUGCGAAGGCAGCCUGCUAGACUGUAACUGACGCUGAUGCUCGAAAGUGUGGGUAUCAAACAGGAUUAGAUACCCUUGUAGUC
rnacentral:rRNA from 1 species